AAGCUCAAGCAGCGCAAGUCGGGCCGCUCGGCCGGCAAGUACGACGUCUACCUGAUCAAGGCAAAGCCUUCCGCUCCAAGGUGGAGCUCAUCGCCUACUUCGAGAAGGUGGGC